rnacentral:rRNA from 1 species
GGGAUCAUUACAGAGUUGCAAAACUCCCAAACCAUCGUGAACGUUACCUACAUCGUUGCUUCGGCGGGUGGCGGGCUUCGGCCCUGCCCUCGGCCCCUCUCGGGGGCCCGCCGGAGGUACACCAAACUCUUGAAUUUACAUGGCCUCUCUGAGUCUUCUGUACUGAAUAAGUCAAAACUUUCAACAACGGAUCUCUUGGUUCUGGCAUCGAUGAAGAACGCAGCGAAAUGCGAUAAGUAAUGUGAAUUGCAGAAUUCAGUGAAUCAUCGAAUCUUUGAACGCACAUUGCGCCCGCCAGUAUUCUGGCGGGCAUGCCUGUCCGAGCGUCAUUUCAACCAUCAAGCCCCCGGCUUGUGUUGGGGACCUGCGGCACACCCGCAGGCCCUGAAAACCAGUGGCGGGCUCGCUGUCCACACCGAGCGUAGUAGCAUAUCUUUGUCUCGCUCAGGGCGUGCGGCGGGUUCCGGCCGUGAAACCCACCUUCUCGAAGGUACCCAAAGGUUGACCUCGGAUCAGGUAGGAAGACCCGCUGAACUUAAG